rnacentral:rRNA from 1 species
UACAGAGGUGGCAAGCGUUGUUCGGAAUUACUGGGCGUAAAGGGCGCGUAGGCGGUCUUGUAAGUCUCGUGUGAAAUCCCUCGGCUUAACUGAGGAACUGCACGGGAUACUGCAUGACUUGAGGUCGGGAGAGGGAAGCGGAAUUCCGGGUGUAGCGGUGAAAUGCGUAGAUAUCAGGAGGAACACCAAUGGCGAAGGCAGCACUCUGGGACGUGACUGACGCUGAGACGCGAAAGCGUGGGGAGCAAACAGG